rnacentral:lncRNA from 12 species
UUUUUCCCCCUCAUGUUCUCUCCUUUUUUCCCCUUAAUUUUUUAUUUUUACAUUUCCCUUCCCCCUUUUUUUUUGCUUUUUCUUCCCUUUCUCCUUCAUUUUUUCCCACCUUCCCCUUUCAUUUUGCUUAUUCCCACCUUUCCUUUUCACUCCCACGCUGACACUUCGCUCACAUUUCAUUUUCCCCUCCUGACACCCGAAUUUUCCCUCUUCCCCGGGGAUUUAAAGCGGCACCGGGACAGGGACCGGGCGGAUCCGCAGCAUCCCCUCUUCCCCUUGCGAUACAAACGGGAAGAAUUUUCCUGUGGGAUCCCCCAGCGGGAUCCCGGCCACCAGAUCCUUCUGGUCCACAUCGUAAAAUUCCAGCUGCGCUUUUUCCCUGUCCAGGAACACGCCGAGCGCGGAGAGGUGGCGGCGCUGCGCCCCGAGCGCGCGGCCGCGGCUGGAGAAGAGCUGUCCUUGGGAUGCGCGCAGAGCCCAGAGCUCCGCCCGGGAAUCCCGGGGAUCCCGGGAGUGCAGAACCCCGAGCGCCCAGCGCCGCUCCCGGCCCAGCUCCACCUCCCAGUAGCGCUGCCCGGCUCCCAGCGCGUCCCGAGCCACCAGCGCCGGCACCGGGAUCGGAUCCUGCGCGUCCCCGAGAUCCAGGGGCCGCGCCUCGGCAUCCAGCGCCACGGGAACUGCGGGGAUGGGGAGGAUCCCGUGAGGGACUGGGAUAUUCCUGGGGGUUGAGGGGCUGCGGAAUCGCUGAAUGCCCAAAUCCCCAAAAUCACAGAAACCCCGAAUCCCCAGAAUCCACAAUCCCUGGGUCCCCAAAACCACAAAUCCCAAAAUUCCCGAAUCCUCAAUAAACAGAAACCACAAAUCCCCAAAUCCCCAAAUCUAGAAAUCCACAAAUCCUGGAAUCCGUGUAUCCCAAAAUAGUACAAAAGCAGAAACCCCAAAUCCUGGAAUCCCGGAAUCCCAGAAUCCCAACAUCCACAAGAUCUGUAAUCCCUGAAUUCCUAACUCAGCAAAAUCACAGAAACCCCACAUCCCAGAAUCUCUAAAUCCACAAAUCCCUGAAUCCCCAAACCCAGAAAUCCACAAAUCCUGGAAUGCCUGUAUCCCCAAACCCCCCAAAAUCAGAAACCUGGAAUCCCUAAAUCCACAAAUCCCUGAAUCUCCAAAUCCAGAAAUCCCACAUCCACAAAUCCCGGAACCUCUGAUCCCCAAAAUCUCCAAAUCACAGAAACCCCAAAUGCUGGAAUGCCAGAAUCACAAAACCCACAAAUCUUGUAAUACCCUACUCUGCGAUUCCCCCAAACCACAGAAACCCUGAAUCCUGGAAUCCCGGAAUCCCCAGUUUCCGGAAUCCCUGAAUCCCCAAAUUCCCAAAAAACCCGAAACCCCAAAUCCCAAAAUCCCUAAACCCACAAAUCCCUGAAUCCCCAAACCCAGAAAUCCACAAAUCCUGGAAUGCCUGUAUCCCAAAAUCCCCGAAAAUCAGAAACCUGGAAUCCCAAAAUCCACAAAUCCCAUAAUCCCUGAAUUUCUAAAUCCAAAAAAACACAGAAUCCCCAAAUCACAGAAACCCCACAUCCUGGAAUCCCAGAAUCCCAAAACCCACAAAUUCCUGAAACCCAGAAUCUACAAAUCCCUGAAUCCCUGGUUCCGAAAAUCCCAAAUCACAGAAACUCCCAAUCCCAGAAUCCCAGAACCCCAAGAUCCACAAAUCCCAUAAUACCUGAAUUCCUGAAUUCCCAGAUCACAGAAACUCCAAAUCCUGGAAUCCUAGAAACCCAGAAUCCCCAAAUUCUGGAAUCCCUGAAUCCCCAAAUCCCCAAAUCACAGAGACGCCAAAUCCCAGAAUCCCUAAAUCCACAAAUCCCUGAAUCCCCAAAUCCACAAAUCCUCAAAAAACAGAAAACCCAAAUCCCAGAAUCCUUAAAUUCACAAAUCCCAGAAACCCAGAACCCCUAAAAACCAAAUCCUCAAAAAACAGAAAACCCAAAUCCCAGAAUCCUUAAAUUCACAAAUCCCAGAAACCCAGAAUCCCUAAAAACCAGAAACCACAAAUCCCAGGAUCCCCAAAUACAGAAACCCACAAAUCCUGGAAUCUCUGUGUUCCAAAAUACCCCCAAACCAGAAACCCCAUAUCAGAAAUCCAGAAUCCACAAAUCCUGUAAUCCCUGAAUUCCUAAAUCCACAAAAUCACAGAAUAACCCCAAUUCCAGAAUCCCUGAAUCCCCAAAUCACAGAAACCCCAAAUCCUGGAAUCCCAAAACCACCAAAUUCCAGGAUCCUGGGAUGCUUCCACAAGGAAUUCAAACAUUCCAAAGAUUAUGGGAUGUGGCUACCAAACGCCUCAACCCCCAAAUUCCCGGAAUUCCCAAAUCCUGAAUUCCCAAAUCCCACAAUCCCAGCUCACCCGCGUGGCUCCGCGCUUCCCAGAAAUCUACGGGAAGAAAUAAAAAAAAAAUGGGAAUUCGUUUUUUAUAGAUGAAUUCCAUAUUUCCACCCCCCAGAAUCCCGAUUUAAUCUCCCCCAAAUCCCAGGAAUUUGGGGAUUCCCAGAUUUGGGUUUUCCGUGCUUACCCAGCUCAGAUUUCAGCUGACCUGAAAGGAAAAGAUAUUCCCGUCAGUUUUGUUGGAUUUUCCCGAUUUCCCCCCAAAUUUUUCCCAUCAGAACAACCCCCGAGUGUGGAAUAAGG